UACGAAGGGGGCUAGCGUUGUUCGGAAUCACUGGGCGUAAAGCGCACGUAGGCGGAUCUUAAGUCAGAGGUGAAAUCCCAAGGCUCAACCUUGGAACUGCCUUUGAUACUGGGGAUCUUGAGUCCGGGAGAGGUGAGUGGAACUGCGAGUGUAGAGGUGAAAUUCGUAGAUAUUCGCAAGAACACCAGUGGCGAAGGCGGCUCACUGGCCCGGUACUGACGCUGAGGUGCGAAAGCGUGGGGAGCAAACAGG
rnacentral:rRNA from 1 species